rnacentral:rRNA from 1 species
AUUGAACGCUGGCGGCAUGCCUUACACAUGCAAGUCGAACGGUAACGGGCCUUCGGGUGCCGACGAGUGGCGAACGGGGGAGUAAUACAUCGGAACGUGCCCGAUCGUGGGGGAUAACGAGGCGAAAGCUUUGCUAAUACCGCAUACGAUCUACGGAUGAAAGCAGGGGACCGCAAGGCCUUGCGCGGACGGAGCGGCCGAUGGCAGAUUAGGUAGUUGGUGGGAUAAAAGCUUACCAAGCCGACGAUCUGUAGCUGGUCUGAGAGGAUGAUCAGCCACACUGGGACUGAGACACGGCCCAGACUCCUACGGGAGGCAGCAGUGGGGAAUUUUGGACAAUGGGCGCAAGCCUGAUCCAGCCAUGCCGCGUGCAGGAUGAAGGCCUUCGGGUUGUAAACUGCUUUUGUACGGAACGAAAAGCCUUCUUUUAAUACAGGAGGGUCAUGACGUUACCGUAAGAAUAAGCACCGGCUAACUACGUG